GCAUAUCAAUAAGCGGAGGAAAAGAAACUAACAAGGAUUCCCCUAGUAGCGGCGAGCGAAGCGGGAAGAGCUCAAAUUUAUAAUCUGGCACCUUUGGUGUCCGAGUUGUAAUCUCUAGAAGUGUUUUCCGCGUUGGACCGCACACAAGUCUGUUGGAAUACAGCGGCAUAGUGGUGAUACCCCAUUACACGGUGCGGACGCCCAGCGCUUUGUGAUACACUUUCGACGAGUCGAGUUGUUUGGGAAUGCAGCUCAAAUUGGGUGGUAAAUUCCAUCUAAAGCUAAAUAUUGGCGAGAGACCGAUAGCGAACAAGUACCGUGAGGGAAAGAUGAAAAGCACUUUGGAAAGAGAGUUAAAAGUACGUGAAAUUGUUGGAAGGGAAACGCUUGAAGUCAGACUUGCUUGCCGGGCUUGCUCGGUUUGCAGGCCAGCAUCAGUUUUCCGGGGCGGAUAAUGGCAGUUAGAAUGUAGCAGUCUCGGCUGUGUUAUAGCUUUCUGCUGGAUACGUCCUGGGGGACUGAGGAACGCAGCGUGCCGUAUGGCGAGGGCUUCGGUCCUUUCACGCUUAGGAUGCUGGUGGAAUGGCUUUAAACGACCCGUCUUGAAACACGGACCAAGGAGUCUAACAUGCUUGCGAGUAUUUGGGUGUCAAACCCGGAUGCGUAAUGAAAGUGAAUGGAGGUGGGAAGCGCAAGCUGCACCAUCGACCGAUCUGGAUUUUCUAAGAUGGAUUUGAGUAAGAGCACGUAUGUUGGGACCCGAAAGAUGGUGAACUAUGCCUGAAUAGGGCGAAGCCAGAGGAAACUCUGGUGGAGGCUCGUAGCGGUUCUGACGUGCAAAUCGAUCGUCAAAUUUGGGUAUAGGGGCGAAAGACUAAUCGAACCAUCUAGUAGCUGGUCUGCGA
rnacentral:rRNA from 1 species